rnacentral:lncRNA from 1 species
UCGGUGUUGUGCUGUACACUUACAGAUCGAUGUGACCAACUAAGGUAAUCUAGAAAAAGGUACCUUAAAUUUAAAUUUAGCCAAAGGAAACAUUUGAUAAAAGGUAUCGAGCAGGAGCAGGGAGCACGUGUUGGAGUGGAGCAAAAUAAGUCUAAGUGAUAAUAACCGAAAUAUUAUGAAAAAUAUUUGUUCUUUGCUAUCUAACACUUAAAAAGAGAAAAAAAUAUUAAUUAUCCGUACUGAAUUUCGAGAAGAUCUGAUCAAGUUGUGUUGAAAUAGGAAGAAGUACUUGUAAAAGGAAUUCCGACAGCAAAUCAAUGAUACUUUGAGGUGUUUCUGUGUGGGAUCGGAGAAAAUGUACUUGGAAAUCUCCUCUCUAAGUCUAUGUAUACAUGUCCAAUGUCGUGGGAGUCAGGUAAUGUUCAGAAUCACGUUUGCUAAUUGCUUCUCUAUGCGUUGUGGUUGAGUUUGUGGGUGGUAAUUGAGGAUUGCCGUAAUCUGAGCAAGUGGGAGACCCCAUGAGCCAAGUACCUGUCCAGCUUUACGGAUCAUACAGUAAUUAAUGGAA